UACGAAGGGGGCUAGCGUGGCUCGGAAUCACUGGGCGUAAAGGGUGCGUAGGCGGGUCUUUAAGUCAGGGGUGAAAUCCUGGAGCUCAACUCCAGAACUGCCUUUGAUACUGAAGAUCUUGAGUUCGGGAGAGGUGAGUGGAACUGCGAGUGUAGAGGUGAAAUUCGUAGAUAUUCGCAAGAACACCAGUGGCGAAGGCGGCUCACUGGCCCGAUACUGACGCUGAGGCACGAAAGCGUGGGGAGCAAACAGG
rnacentral:rRNA from 1 species